GAGACUCUGUGCGCGUGCAUAUCAAUAAGCGGAGGAAAAGAAACUAACAAGGAUUCCCUUAGUAACGGCGAGUGAAGCGGGAAGAGCUCAAAUUUGAAAUCUUCAAGGUUCUACCUUGACGAAUUGUAGUUUAUAGAAGUGUUUUCUGUUAGUAGAGUGGCAAAAGUUCUUUGGAAUAGGACAUCAUAGAGGGUGAGAAUCCCGUAUUUGGUCAUUCCUCCUAGCGUUGUGAUACACUUUCAACGAGUCGGAUUGUUUGGGAAUGCAGUCCAAAAUGGGUGGUAAAUUUCAUCUAAAGCUAAAUAUUGGCGAGAGACCGAUAGCGAACAAGUACCGUGAGGGAAAGAUGAAAAGAACUUUGAAAAGAGAGUUAAACAGUACGUGAAAUUGUCAAAAGGGAAGCGUUUGACACCAGUGUUGUUUUUCCGAAAAUCAAUUACGAAUGUUUCGUUUUUAAGGAGUUAUGACUUCAUCGGCUUGCUCCUUUCUUUACGAAACUUUCUUAAUGCACUUUUCGGUUAACAAGUCAACAUCAAUUUCUUUUGUUGUAAAAGGGUAUGAGGAAGGUGGCUUUCUUUUCGGAGAAAGUGUUUAUAGCCUUGUACCUCUGCAAUCGGAGAGAUUGAGGUCUGCAGCGUAGAUCCUUCGGGGUUAGAUACAUUUGUGCUAAGUUAUAGCUUUUCAUAGACAACUUGUUGACUAUGUUUAGUCUUGUAGCUUACUCGCUUACGCUAUUUUACCUACGCUUAGGAUGUUGAAGAUGUAGCACAUCAU
rnacentral:rRNA from 1 species